GGACAGGUGGCCGAGUGGCUUAAGGCGCACGCCUGGAAAGCGUGUGGUGGGGAAACUCACUCGCGGGUUCGAAUCCCGCCCUGUCCG
rnacentral:tRNA from 1 species